rnacentral:rRNA from 1 species
GACGAACGCUGGCGGCGUGCUUAACACAUGCAAGUCGAGCGAUGAAAUCCCUUCGGGGAUGGAUUAGCGGCGGACGGGUGAGUAACACGUGGGCAACCUGCCUUAUAGAGAGGAAUAGCCAUCCGAAAGGAUGAUUAAUACCCCAUAACAUAGAGUAUAGGCAUCUAUAUUUUAUCAACGUUCCGACGGUAUCGGAUGGGCAUGCGGUUGAUUAGCUAGUUGGUGAGGUAACGGCUCACCAAGGCGACGAUCAAUAGGGGGUCUGAGAGGAUGUCCCCCCACACUGGUACUGAGACACGGACCAGACUCCUACGGGAGGCAGCAGUAGGGAAUAUUGGUCAAUGGGGGCAACCCUGAACCAGCCAUGCCGCGUGCAGGAAGACUGCCCUAUGGGUUGUAAACUGCUUUUGUACGGGAAGAAAUGUCACUAUGCGUAGUGAUUUGACGGUACCGUAAGAAUAAGGAUCGGCUAACUUCGUGCCAGCCGCCGCGGUAA